rnacentral:lncRNA from 1 species
UACAAUUUACAUAUAGACACAGACACACAUGAACAUACCCAUUCGUAAAAUUAAGGCAUGUUUUAUUACAGAAACUAAAUUAAACAUAGCAUGAAACGUUACUCGGCGCGCGUGCGCACACAAUUAUACCCUCUAGCGGCCACCAGGCAGCUUCUCCUUGAUCUUUUCCAUCAUUCCCUUCUUCUCAUGCUGUUGCCCUUCACCAUAUCCGUAGCCGCCUCCACCCUGAGUAGUGGUUUGAGUACCGUAAGUCUGCUCGUCCUUUUGACCGCCAGGCAACUUCUCCUUAAUCUUAUCUUUCAAACCCUUCUUCCUUCUCCCUCCCAUCCCAUCAUCCUCUGAUGACUGCAAAAUACCACAAAAUUAAAAUAUAUAUAUAUAAAUAAAUAAAUGAAAAAUGUUAGCAUUUUAGAUGUUCUCAAAGAUAUAAAGUACAUAGCAGAAAUUAGCUAAUACUUACCGAGCUGCUGGAGCUGCCAGAUCGGCGGAGCUGGCCCUGUCCAUGUUGCUCCCCAGCUCGGCCAGCAUCAACUUUGCCCGGGGCAAUUCCACCACCAUGAGUUCCAUAAACUCCAGUGGUUCCAUAACCAGUUCCUUGUUGGCCCGAUUUAGGACCCCCAGUGUGGCCAACAGGGUUGCCAUAUUCAUCAGUCUGUCGCGUUGGGUUCCCGUAUUGGUCUCCGUACUCUGCCAUUUCUUCAGAUUUCAAGUGUGUAUCAAAAUUAAAACUUAAAUAAACAAGUAGUUUGUUCAGCUUCUUA